UUUAAAUUUUUAGAUUUAAAUUUGAAUUUUAUUUGUUUCUAUUUUAUCUCUAUUUUUGUUUUAGUUUCUAUUUCUUUGUUGGUUUGUGUAAAUACCUAGAAUUCAAUUAUUAUUAUUAUUUUUUGUAAUUUUAUUUUAUAGUUUUAAUUUUAUUGUUACUAUUUUAACUUUAAUUUUUUUAUUUCUAUUUUUAGUUAUUUCUUAUCUAGUUUAGGGAUUAUGAGGUAUUUUUAUCCUGAUUGAGUAUGUGAGGUAA
rnacentral:lncRNA from 1 species